CCCGCGUUACAUGCCACCGGGGCAUCCCGGAGGCAGGAAAGGCUUCGGCCGGACAGGGAUGGGCAUGCGGCGCAUUAGGCAGUAGGCGGGGUAACGGCCCACCUAACCGACGAUGCGUAGGGGUUCUGAGAGGAAGGUCCCCCACACUGGUACUGAGACACGGACCAGACUCCUACGGGAGGCAGCAGUGAGGAAUAUUGGUCAAUGGUCGGGAGACUGAACCAGCCAAGCCGCGUGAGGGAUGAAGGUACAGAGUAUCGUAAACCUCUUUUGUCAGGGAACAAAGGCGGGGACGUGUCCCCGGAUGAGUGUACCUGAAGAAAAAGCAUCGGCUAACUCCGUGCCAGCAGCCGCGGUAAUACGGAGGAUGCGAGCGUUAUCCGGAUUUAUUGGGUUUAAAGGGUGCGCAGGCGGUCUGUUAAGUCAGCGGUCAAAGCCCGGGGCUCAACCCCGGCCCGCCGUUGAAACUGGCAGUCUCGAGUUGGAGAGAAGUAUGCGGAAUGCGCGGUGUAGCGGUGAAAUGCAUAGAUAUCGCGCAGAACUCCGAUUGCGAAGGCAGCAUGCCGGCUCCACACUGACGCUGAGGCACGAAAGCGUGGGUAUCGAACAGGAUUAGAUACCCUGGUAGUCCACGCAGUAAACGAU
rnacentral:rRNA from 1 species